GGAGAAGUCGCCUAGUUGGUUUAUGGCGCAGACCUGGAAAGUCUGUAUGGGCGCAAGCCUAUCGCGAGUUCGAAUCUCGCCUUCUCCG
rnacentral:tRNA from 7 species